GUUGCCCAAAUAGCACGUCAUCUCAGUUUCCAGAGCACUUUCCUAUCCCGUUGACUUCUCAUUCUCACAAAGGGUUGGUCCUGCUUAUGACGGUUCCAAGGCAGUGGCAUUUAGAAUAAGAUGACUCUGCAUUUACUCAGGGCUUGUCCACUUACCAGCUGGGUGAUCUUGGAAGUCUUGCAUGGCCUCUCUCAGCCUUAUUUGGAUCAGGACUAAUGACUGCGUGAUCCUAAAGUCUACCAUCCAGACCUAGAUACUUUUGAGCUUAAAAAGGCAUAUUCUGCUAUCUACCUGGAGGGAAGCCAUGCCUGUUUGCUCAGUAAUGAAGUCCUUGAAGGCAGGGCCUGGGUCUUGUUAAUCCUUUGUUCUCAGUACUUGUUAGAAAACCCAGCAUGAUGCACAGCCUUGGUGGAUGAAAUGACGACUGGAUGAACACGUUGUUGGAGUAAGUUCUGAAGGAAUGGUGAUCACAACAGGCAGUGGGGGUUUCAUUAGUGACACAGGCUAGGUCUGAGAAGGAAAAAGGCAAGUCCAGCUAUGGAUCUUCUAUGAGGCACUACUUACAAGAAUCCUUGCCAGGCUGCUGGAGCAGUCUCUCGUCUUCCCCAAAAGUGGGCCUUGUUUGAGAUGACUAGCUGACAUUGGAUUCAAAACUAUUUUUUGGCGAGAAGAGGAGACAUAAAGGAUCUGGUUCCAACGUGGGCCCCAAAUUAGGCUUUGAGUGGAGCUCCAACCUCUGGAAGUUCUAAUAAGACCUUGUUUUCAUGGAACCUCUAGCCUCAUGGCAAGGAGACAGCGUACGAGGAAACAAAUGGACGAAUAAAAGAAUUUCAGAUGGUCACAAAUACUGUGAAGAAACAAAAUAUAAAGAAGUAAGAAAAACAUCCCUACAACUUGGUCUAAGGAGGAGUAACCAGAUAUUUUACUAGUUCAUCAACACAGGAUUUGAGGAGAAUCUAUGUAUUGUGCUGUUGCUACGUUUAUGUAAGAUAGAUAAACCAUGAGGUGUAGCAGACAGAAGGAAAGAUUGGAAGACAGGAGACACAACCAUCAGCUCUGGUUCUGUCUCUGCCUCAACAUGCCGCAUGGCCUCUGGCAAGUAAUAUUAACUCUC